UGGGGAAUUUUGCACAAUGGGGGAAACCCUGAUGCAGCGACGCCGCGUGAUUUAGAAGGCCUUCGGGUUGUAAAAAUCUUUUCUAUGGGAAGAAAAUGACAGUACCAUAGGAAUAAGGACUGGCUAAUUACGUGCCAGCAGCCGCGGUAAUACGUAAGGUCCAGGCGUUAUCCGGAUUUAUUGGGUUUAAAGGGAGCGUAGGCUGUUUGUUAAGCGUGUUGUGAAAUGUAAGAGCUCAACUUUUAGAUUGCAGCGCGAACUGGCAGACUUGAGUGCGCACAACGUAGGCGGAAUUCAUGGUGUAGCGGUGAAAUGCUUAGAUAUCAUGACGAACUCCGAUUGCGAAGGCAGCUUACGGGAGCGCAACUGACGCUAAAGCUCGAAGGUGCGGGUAUCGAACAGG
rnacentral:rRNA from 1 species